AUAACAACCUGAUAAUACACAAGUUUUAAACUCACAUCUCCAAGUAUAAAUUAAGGAACUUUUCUAUAACAAAGAUUGAAAAAUGUAUUUUCUAUUUUCAAUAACCUUCCUCAAAAGAAUUUCAAGAACCAAAAGUCCAAAAGUAACUAUGUGCCGGCCUUUUUUUAUCUUCCUGUUAAGAGCCAAUGCAAAAAUUCAAGAAAUGGGGUUAACCUAAUGCAAUUUAACCUAAAACUAGAAUGUGACUUGAGCAUUUACAGGGUUAACUCCUUAUGAGAAGUCCAGGCCUCGACGAGGCUGAAAAUCAAAAUCAUCUACCUCGCUUAUCAAUCUCUUCAUUAAGAAGUCGAGUCAUUAAACCUUGAUUAGGGGUCAAAUUAUUGGUUUUGAGAAGAUUGUUCAAUGCAUGAAGUUCUUCACAGUUUGCCUUCUUAAGUAGGCCACUCAGAACUAUAUCAGCUCGAGUAGGAUCAUUUGAGAUGUCGGAUUUUAUAUUGAGUUUUGAACGGUCCACAACUAGGGAAGAUUGUACAGUCUGCAUCAAGGGUUUAGAUUUCCAGAAUUCAGAACAUACCCGGUUUAUAUCCAUAUCUUGAAUGGCCUGUACAAUCUCUGUUGUUGAAAAACCAAACAUUUCCAUGCCCUCAACACUUCCAGGUGGUUGCAAAGGCAAAAGCUUUGGCUUUCCCAACUUAUGUUGCUUUAAAAUUUCUUGAUUCACUCUCUCGCGGACCAUAUCCCAGCAUUUAACAGGGGACAAGUGAACAAACACUUCAUUGGGACAACGCUCAAGUGUAACCAUAAACAGUGGGCCAUCUCGUCCUGCAUCUAUAACUUCAGAAAUAUAGUGAGACAUAUUUGUUGGAUCUAAAACAUCAAUGUAUCUGACCCGGCUCCUGAAUCCCUUGGGAU
rnacentral:misc_RNA from 1 species